UUUGCAUUUCAAAAGCUGCAGGGAACUGCAUUUCGGGACGCUGUGAAGGUAUAAUCUUCUUUGCUUACCAUAUUUUAAGCUGUAUUACAUUAUCUUCUGAAAGUUACAUUAAGCGGUAAAUAGUGGCUCAACUAAUUAUUGCACAACGAUUGCACUCUACACCAGAGUUCAAGCUCAAUUGACAUUUUACUAAUAUUCUGAAGAAAGACAAUAAAUUAAGUAAAUAACAUGACUACACCGGAUACUAAGAAACCAAAUUCCAGCACAUCGAAUCAUAACCGCACGCAGAGAAUUGUGGUAGAAGACAGUAAACAGAUAGCAAGUUCCCUGUCACAAAUAAUAUCCAAAAAUGCUUACAUAUUUUCAAUGCAAAACAACCAGAAGUUUUUGCAAUUUAUGAAACUAUUUAACGAAGACUAUACAUCGUUGGACAUAGAUGAUUUACGACGCAACUGUUUCCUGGGAAAAACACUUGCCUCCGCACGGUUUAUUCAUUUGGCAAUAGAUGUAAAGAGAGACUAUGAUCAACAGUUACUUUGGUUCAUUGUUAAUGCGUAUUCGCGUGUUAACAACAAAGUAUGGCACGAUGUACUGUUCGUCGCACCUUGCCAGUUGGAAAAUGCUCUCGAACAUGUGUGCAGCCGUGUAUUAGACGUAGCAAAUGCCUAUAACAUUAUUCACAAAAUAAAAACUGUUAUUUCCGACGACGAAGAAUUUCUGUCCUACUUUACGAAAGUGAAAGAAGUCAAUAUCAAUAAUUGGAAAAUACUGUUUUACUUUAAACAUACACUAAUGGAUAUAGUAAAUUCAGCCAUACAUAAUUCCGGUACGAUUUCUUUGAAUAUCGUAACAACGAAAAAGUUACUGCAUGACAUAGUGGAUCAAGAGAAUUCGACGACUACACCUAUCGACGAACGCAUGAACAAAGAUUUAGACACGUUGAAUUUCUACUUGUGCAAAGUGUCAAAUUUUCUGACGACUUUGGAGCCAAGUCGGAAAAUCGAUCUUAUUGUUGAAGUAAUUGACGUUUUAAAGGAUAUGCAGAAAGCUCAAGGUGAAAUACACAUGAUUUCCGAAGUGUUGCCGAAGUUAUUUGAAAUGGUCUAAAAAAGCGAAUUAAUGUUGAUGUAAAAAAGCGAAAAGAUUCAUUGCAAGAUGCAACGCAGCUGCUAUGUAUUAAUUUGCAAACUAAACUCGAUGACUUUUUAAACAAUUGGGAAGAUAUUACUAUUUAUGCAACUGCUACGUUACUGGAUCCUCGUUUCAGAACCAUUAAAUUUGUUAAAAAUCCCGAUGAGUGGACUAAAAAGAUAUUAUGCCAACUAAUAAAAAACUUGAAAAUAAAUUUGUUUAAUGCAAAUAUGUUAGACAACACUAAGGAAACUACACUGAGAGACGAGUUUCAAAGAUACAUAAGAGAUGAAUUGAUUGGAAGGGACGUUGAUCCUAUUUCAUGGAGGGAUGCAGAAGAUUACCAAUUGUUUCCAUUACUUUCGUCUUUAGGGUUAGACAAAACUAAGGAGGAAAUUACACUGAGAGACGAGUUUCAAAAAUACAUAAAAGAUGAACCGAUUGGAAUGGACUUUGAUCCUAUUUCAUGGUGGGAUGGAAAAGGUUGCCAAUUGUUUCCAUUACUUUCGACUUUUGCAUAUGAAUAUUUAUCUAUACCUGUUAUACUUACUCCUAUUAGUAAACAUGUACCUGAACAGAUAUGGAAAAUAGUUCAAUAAUAUUGUUUAAUGUUAUUUUCAUUCAUUUGAUUUUCAAAUAAAAAUUUAUUUGAUGAAAUAAGAUUAAUUAACCUAGAAUAACUUCAUUUUUUACAAUCAUUAUAAUUAUAGUAUUGUAUCGUUAUAUAACAGUAUUGUAACUUGAUGAAAUUAAUGUUCGAAGUAAUAAAACUGGUAUUCCUAAUGAUUAAGUUCUACGUUUUCUUUGCGAGUCGUCUAUUUUCGCAAUCUUUAAUAUUAAAUUUGAAAUACAAAUGUAAAUGAAAUAAAAUGAAAUGAAUGAUCAAGAAGAGUCUUCUAAUAGUAUAAAUCCGUUGGUACUUGUACAUAACUUUAUACACAAUUCAGUGGAAGAUAGAUAUAAUAUUAAACAAAUAAUAUUAAGAAUUUUGUAAAAGAAAAUAACUCCAUUUGUAUGAACACAAUCCUCUUUAUUUUCGUAAAGUGGAGUAGAAGAUAAUAGAAGCAGGUGAUUACUUUUCAUUCACAAAAAGACAUAGUAAUGAUAUUGCUAACAAUGAGUAAUAUUGGAUUAGAAUCGUUGUAAUAUUUAAGUGACAAUAAUUUUCGAAUUCGAUGUAUCGCGAAAUACAAAUACAGAAUUAUUGUAAAGGUCUUUUAGUUCGAUAGAUUGAUUCUCUACCUAUGAAGGAGCCUAAUUGAAUGAUGAACAUUGUUAUAUACAAACGGUCAUAUUUAAAAAAGUAAAUAAAUUUAUUGCAUUUUU